rnacentral:rRNA from 1 species
CCGCUUAGAGGCAAACGGGUUGUAGUCAAGCUGCAAGCUUAUUUGAAAUAGGGGGGCGAGAAUGACGUGAGUCUGAGCACAUAGAACGGGCAUUGGGGUGCGUCCGUAUGGGCGUGUUCGUUUCCUUAGGGAAAUGGAUCUGUGAAGUGGCAUUCGCCGCUGCAGGCCUCGGUGUCAGGUGUUCUGCUCGCCCUCUCACUUUCUUUAAGCGUAUGUCACGACCGUCGUUGCUGUCGGUCUGCUUCGUCUAAACUGUACUAUGAGUAGUCUUGUGCUUCUCGUUGUAUGGGGGCAGGUAGCUGUGAAGUGGCCUUCGGGUCGUCUUGCAGUGUUAUUGCUGGGCGAAGUGGUACCUGUAACUGUGCAGUGCGGCGGGGCUGGCGGUGCAUUGGUUUCCGGGCGUGCUAAAACAUGUUGGCGUGACGUGGGUCUGGCUGCUUGUUGCUGUCUCUGAUAGCCUUGUGGCGGCUCUGUUGCGGUUUAGCGUGUGGCUGCGUCUGGGCAUUCUUUGCGUUGUGCCAAUAGUCUGUGGCGUAGUGGUACACGAU